AGAGUCGACCAGGCAGUCGCUGUGUCCAUUGGACGCAGAGGAAAGUCCGGGCUCCACAGGGCAAGGCGCCAGGUAACGCCUGGGGGGCGCAAGCCCACGGAAAGUGCCGCAGAAAAUAUACCGCCUAAGCACUUAGGUGCCGGUAAGGGUGAAAUGGUGCGGUAAGAGCGCACCGCGCCGGUGGUAACACCGGUGGCAGGGUAAACCCCGCCUGGAGCAAGACCAAAUAGGGGAACGAGCAUUUGCGAUGCGUGGCCCGCGCAGUUCCCGGGUAGGUUGCUCGAGGUACACGGCGACGUGUAUCCCAGAUGAAUGACUGUCCGCGACAGAACCCGGCUUACCGGUCGGCUCUCCAC
rnacentral:RNase_P_RNA from 1 species